rnacentral:miRNA from 1 species
ACUCUCAGCGGCCGGGAGGAAUCCCUCUUGGCCGGUGAGAGUAUACACUCUCAAAGGCGGAGAGGGAUUCCUCUCCGCCGCUGAGAGU